rnacentral:rRNA from 1 species
UACGGGGGGGGGCAAGCGUUUGUUCGGAAUUACUGGGCGUAAAGGGCUCGUAGGCGGCCAACUAAGUCGGAUGUGAAAUCCCCAGGCUCAACCUGGGAACUGCAUCCGAUACUGGAUGGCUUGAAUUCGGGAGAGGGAUGCAGAAUUCCAGGUGUAGCGGUGAAAUGCGUAGAUAUCUGGAGGAAUACCGGUGGCGAAGGCGGCAUCCUGGACCGACAUUGACGCUGAGGAGCGAAAGCCAGGGGAGCAAACGGG